CAGGCCUAACACAUGCAAGUCGAGCGGAGAUGAGGUGCUUGCACCUUAUCUUAGCGGCGGACGGGUGAGUAAUGCUUAGGAAUCUGCCUAUUAGUGGGGGACAACAUUUCGAAAGGAAUGCUAAUACCGCAUACGCCCUACGGGGGAAAGCAGGGGAUCUUCGGACCUUGCGCUAAUAGAUGAGCCUAAGUCGGAUUAGCUAGUUGGUGGGGUAAAGGCCUACCAAGGCGACGAUCUGUAGCGGGUCUGAGAGGAUGAUCCGCCACACUGGGACUGAGACACGGCCCAGACUCCUACGGGAGGCAGCAGUGGGGAAUAUUGGACAAUGGGGGGAACCCUGAUCCAGCCAUGCCGCGUGUGUGAAGAAGGCCUUUUGGUUGUAAAGCACUUUAAGCGAGGAGGAGGAGCUCUAGAUUAAUACUCUAGAUGCUUGGACGUUACU
rnacentral:rRNA from 1 species